rnacentral:rRNA from 1 species
AGUGAACGCUGGCGGUAGGCCUAACACAUGCAAGUCGAACGGCAGCACAGUAAGAGCUUGCUCUUACGGGUGGCGAGUGGCGGACGGGUGAGGAAUACAUCGGAAUCUACUUUUUCGUGGGGGAUAACGUAGGGAAACUUACGCUAAUACCGCAUACGACCUACGGGUGAAAGCAGGGGAUCUUCGGACCUUGCGCGAUUGAAUGAGCCGAUGUCGGAUUAGCUAGUUGGCGGGUAAAGGCCCACCAAGGCGACGAUCCGUAGCUGGUCUGAGAGGAUGAUCAGCCACACUGGAACUGAGACACGGUCCAGACUCCUACGGGAGGCAGCAGUGGGGAAUAUUGGACAAUGGGCGCAAGCCUGAUCCAGCCAUACCGCGUGGGUGAAGAAGGCCUUCGGGUUGUAAAGCCCUUUUGUUGGGAAAGAAAAGCAGCAGGUUAAUACCCCGCUGUUCUGACGGUACCCAAAGAAUAAGCACCGGCCAACUUCGUG